GAUGAACGCUGGCGGCGUGCCUAAUACAUGCAAGUCGAGCGAACAGACGAGGAGCUUGCUCCUCUGACGUUAUCGGCGGACGGGUGAUUAACACGUGGAUAACCUACCUAUACGACUGGGAUAACUUCGGGAAACCGGAGCUAAUACCGGAUAAUAUAUUGCACCGCAUGGUUCACUCGUUAAAUACGGUUUUUCUGUCACUUAUAGACUGCUCCGCGCCGCAUUAGCUAGUUGGUAAGGUAACGGGUUACCAAGGCAACGAUGGGUAACCGACCUGAGAGGGUGAUCGGACACAUUGGAAGUGAGGAACGGCCGCGACACCGAGAGGAGGCCGCAGUAGGGAAUCUUACGGGAUGGAGGAGUGCGUGACAUAGCAACGCCGGGGGAGUGAUGAAGGAGUUCGGAUCGUAGAGCGCUGUUAGCAGGGGGGAAGAAAAGCGUAUGUAACUAGGAAGGUAAUGACGGUACCGGAUGAAUAAGCUCCGGCUAACUACGUG
rnacentral:rRNA from 1 species